rnacentral:rRNA from 1 species
UACGUAGGGUGCAAGCGUUGUCCGGAAUUAUUGGGCGUAAAGAGCUCGUAGGCGGUUUGUCGCGUCUGCUGUGAAAACUCGGGGCUUAACUCCGGGCCUGCAGUGGGUACGGGCAGACUAGAGUGCGGUAGGGGAGAGCUGGAAUUCCUGGUGUAGCGGUGAAAUGCGCAGAUAAUCAGGAGGAACACCGGUGGCGAAGGCGGGUCUCUGGGCCGUAACUGGACGCUGAGGAGCGAAAGCGUGGGGAGCGAACAGG